rnacentral:rRNA from 1 species
AAAGUAAUAUUGUUUAUGAAAUUUAUUGGAUUUGGCGGCAAAACAGCUUUUUAGAGGAACCUGCCCUGUAAACGAUGGUCCACGAUUUACCUUACUUUUUUUAGAAAUCAGUUUACAUACCGCUGUUGCUAGUUAGUUUUUGUAAAAAGUUAUCUUUAAUAAAUAUGUUUAUGGACUUCAAGUAAAGGUGUAGCUAAUAAGAAAGAUAGAGGUGGGUUACAUUUGGUUUUAUCAAUAUGGAUAAUUUUAUGUAAUUAAAUAUUGAAGGAGGAUUUAAAAGUAAGAUUUUUAAUAAUUUGAUAUAAGAAAUGUUUUGUGUACAAACCGCCCGUC